rnacentral:rRNA from 1 species
UCGCCUGUUUAAACAAAAACAUAGCUGGAAAAAAUCCAGUUUAUCUGCUCACUGGAAAAUCUUAAAAGCUUAUAAGGUAGCGUAUAAUAAGCGUAGUAAUUCUACGUCGGAUGAAGGUACAACCCUUUAAAAAUUUCUUUAUAAAAAAGUUGAAAUUUAUCCUUAAGUGAAAAACCUUAAAUGUUCUUAAAAGACGAUAAGACCCUAGGAUCUUAAUAUUUUUAAUUGGGUCAAUAGUCAAAAUUAAUAGUGACAUUUUAAUUAUUUAAUGAACCAAAUUACUGUUGAAAGACAAAGAUACCCUAGGGAUAACAGCACUAACUUCUCAUAAAGCCCCUAUUGAAGAGAAAGUAGUGACCUCGAUGUUGAAUUAAGAUACUGAGGCUGAAGUCAGCUUUCUUUUAAGGUCUGUUCGACCUUUUAAUCUUACAUGAUUUGAGUUAAGACCGACGUGAGCCAGGUUGGUUUCUAU